GAACCUGAGCAGGAAGAGCGGCUGCGAGGCGGCGGCACAGAGGCAGCGGCUGAGUUGGUCGCGGCGACGGCGACGGCGAGGGCUCUCGACCUUCGAGAGCAGGAUGCAGGUCCGCGUCAGGCUGUCGUUGCUGCUGCUCUGCGCGGUGCUCCUGGGCUCGGCAGCCGCGACCUCGGGUCAGUAUCGAGCCUCGGGCAGCAGGCCCCGAGCCACCGCCCCCCGACCGCGGUGGAGACAGGGCCACGGGGCUCAGCGGUCUCGGGCACUGCUCGCCCUGACUGUCACUCGCUCUUGCCUUGGGCAUCGGUUAGCCUGGGCCGAAGAGGGUGCUUAGGAAACUGGACAUAAGGAAGGGCUGGUCACCCUGCCCACACCUCUCCCACGCAGCAAACUUUAGGUGACUUCUGACGAAUUAGGAAUUGCCCAAUUAGGAGGGGAUUCCUGACGGCUGGCUUAGACCCUCAGAGAUUCCUCUACCUUCACGUAGGUGAUGUGUGCACAGGCUCUGGGACACGCUGGGGUUUGCAGUUGACAUACCUGGAGCUGUCACUUUUGUGCAGAGCAGGGUUCAUCCGGACUAGGAUGUUGACAGUGGAGGAAUUGCUCAACACCUGAUCUGUUAGUCUGGUUUUUAAAAGAAAAAACUCUGAUAUAAUUGUAGUCACUUGUCCCCCGCGUCCUGGGAAAAAUGUGACCUCUGCCACGGUGUCCAUGGUCUUUGAGUUUGUAGAUAGUCAUUUUAUUUAUGGGUUUUGAGACAGACUUAGUUCUUUCAAAAUUAAUAGAAAAUAAUGUUGCCCUUUUCUGUAGGUACAAAAAGCCGUGUGCUUUUAAAUUGAUUUUUCGACUAGCUGACUUACAUUACCUCUUUGCAAAGGAUUUUCUUUUUUAAUGUUUUGAUCUGCCUAUAUCAGAAAACUUACUGUCUUAGAAAUGUUUCUCUUAAACGUACUUAGGAUGUUUUAGAGUGAAUAAACAUUGACUCCUGGAAGACUUUGAGAUUUUUAAUCAGUUUCGCUUAACAAGACAGCUGUUGGGUGGCUUUAUACUUUUUUCUGGAACACUGCAAAAUGUAAAUGUCAUCUUU
rnacentral:lncRNA from 1 species